CUUCUAGUAUGGAGCAGCACAGUUACGGGUGUGGACAAGUGAAUGUCUUGGAGUAGAAGGCAAAGAACAUUUUUGCAUGGAACAUGGCCACACCAUACCUUGGUGUGAUCUCAGGUUGAGGCUGAGCUAAAGUUAAUCUGUUGUAACAUUCUGGAUGUACUGGACAAACACCUCAUUCCAGCAGCUAACACUGGCGAGUCCAAGGUUUUCUAUU